rnacentral:rRNA from 1 species
GAUGAACGCUAGCGGCAGGCUUAAUACAUGCAAGUCGUGGGGCAGCAGGGGUGUAGCAAUACACUCGCUGGCGACCGGCAAACGGGUGCGGAACACGUACGCAACCUACCCAAAACUGGGGGAUAGCCCGGGGAAACCCGGAUUAAUACCUCGUAACAUAAUGGAGUGGCAUCACUUUAUUAUUAUAGCUCCGGCGGUUUUGGAUGGGCGUGCGCCUGAUUAGGUAGUUGGCGGGGUAACGGCCACCAGCCUACGAUCAGUAACUGGGUGUGAGAGCACGACCAGUCACACGGGCACUGAGGCACGGGCCCGACUCCUACGGGAGGCAGCAGUAAGGAAUAUUGGUCAAUGGACGCAAGUCUGAACCAGCCAUGCCGCGUGGAGGAUGAAGGUCCUCUGGAUUGUAAAC